AACGAACGCUGGCGGCAGGCCUAACACAUGCAAGUCGAACGCCCCGCAAGGGGAGUGGCGCACGGGUGAGUAACGCGUGGGAAUCUGCCCUUUGGUCUGGAAUAACCCUGGGAAACAAGGGCUAAAACCGGAUAAGCCCCGCGAGGGGGAAAGUUUACGCCGAAGGAGGAGCCCGCGUCCGAUUAGCUAGUUGGUGAGGUAAGAGCUUACCAAGGCGACGAUCGGUAGCUGGUCUGAGAGGACGAUCAGCCACACUGGGACUGAGACACGGCCCAGACUCCUACGGGAGGCAGCAGUGGGGAAUAUUGGACAAUGGGCGCAAGCCUGAUCCAGCCAUGCCGCGUGAGUGAUGAAGGCCUUCGGGUUGUAAAGCUCUUUUGGCGGGGACGAUGAUGACGGUACCCGCAGAAUAAGCCCCGGCAAACUUCGUGCCAGCCGCCGCGGUAACAC
rnacentral:rRNA from 1 species